GAUAGCUGCAUCCUGGUUAGGAUGCCUCCUGGACGCCUCCCUGGUGAGGUGUUCCGGGCACGUCCCACUGGGAGGAGGAGGCCCCCCGGGGACGACCCAGCACUCGCUGGAGAGACUCUGUCUCUCGGUUGGUCUGGGAACGCCUGGGGAUUCCCCCUGAAGAGCUGGAUGAAGUGGCCGAGGAGAGGGAAGUCUGGGCUUCGACCCAACCUUGGAAAAGAAGCUCAGGAGGCGGGACUUCAGCCGGGCUGCGGGUGAGCCAAUUGGUUGUGGCACGAUGACUGACAGGCGGCACGGCGUGGCCGUGAUUGGCCGCUGAAACCUCCUGAUCCGUCUCCACCAGUCCUUGCCAGUCAGCUAUUUUUCUCACGCCAGAUAGAACCAGCACAAGGAGUGCACAAGAGUGGCGAUGGGGAUUUGGUACCUUGCUCAGGAGAACCUGGCAGGGACCUGAACUGGCAGCCCUUCGAUCACAA